rnacentral:piRNA from 1 species
UAACUGGAGACUAUUCGGACA